CGUGUAGGCGGCUUGGUAAGUCAGAUGUGAAAGCCCUGGGCUUAACCCAGGAAGUGCAUUUGAAACUGCCAGGCUUGAGUAGGGGAGAGGAAGGUGGAAUUCCUGGUGUAGAGGUGAAAUUCGUAGAUAUCAGGAGGAACACCGGUGGCGAAGGCGACCUUCUGGCCCUAUACUGACGCUGAGACGCGAAAGCGUGGGUAGCAAACA
rnacentral:rRNA from 1 species